rnacentral:lncRNA from 1 species
ACUUCCCCCAAAAACAUUAUCCAUUCUGAUCUUUGCUGCUUCUAGGAACUGCUCUUGGAGGGGGCUUUGAUGUUAUAAAUCAGCAGAGAGGAGGAGAGUGGCUUGCCAGAUUCUGUGCAGUUUGUGUGUCGGCAUGAGAACCCUCGCUCACCUCAUUCUAACAUGCAAGGAAGAGGAAAUACAAGUACAGUGGUGCCUCGCAUUACGACUGUUACGAUUUUUAAGGAAAAAAUCCAGAAAACUUGCAUUCCAGUCUCCUGGAGCUGCUGCCAGGUUAGAGCAGAGAUAAUAAAGAAAUACAUGUUUGAGAAUGUUAACUGACUGUCUGGACUAAGGUCGGAAUAUAUAGUAAUUGGCCGCUGAAUUAAAGUUUCUUCAAUUGUUUUAUUUUGUUUGUGUUUUAAAUUGCAGAUGAAUGUGGAAAUGGGAUGGAAGAAAAUUUGAGUGAGCACAUUCAAAAGGAAAUCCUGAGAUGUCUGCCUUCAAUCCAAAAUGAUUAAUAGCUUGAAACUCACAACCUCAGUAACAUUUUUAUAUAUCAACUGAAUAAGGAUUCCUUCAAUUGUUCAGUGAAAUCAAGC